rnacentral:rRNA from 1 species
UGGGGACUAUUGCACAAUGGGCGCAAGCCUGAUGCAGCCAUGCCGCGUGUAUGAAGAAGGCCUUCGGGUUGUAAAGUACUUUCAGCGAGGAGGAAGGCGUUGUGGUUAAUAACCGCAACGAUUGACGUUACUCGCAGAAGAAGCACCGGCUAACUCCGUGCCAGCAGCCGCGGUAAUACGGAGGGUGCAAGCGUUAAUCGGAAUUACUGGGCGUAAAGCGCACGCAGGCGGUCUGUCAAGUCGGAUGUGAAAUCCCCGGGCUCAACCUGGGAACUGCAUCCGAAACUGGCAGGCUAGAGUCUUGUAGAGGGGGGUAGAAUUCCAGGUGUAGCGGUGAAAUGCGUAGAGAUCUGGAGGAAUACCGGUGGCGAAGGCGGCCCCCUGGACAAAGACUGACGCUCAGGUGCGAAAGCGUGGGGAGCAAACA